rnacentral:lncRNA from 1 species
CUUUUGCAAGUCUGUUGACAAUUAUGUCAUUAGGAUAGGAAAGUAUAAAACCACUCUGUGGAUAGUGCUGAAAACAAUUACUUCAUAUCUGAAUUCCUCCAUCUUUAUGCGACUUUACUGGUUGACUUUCCAUAAUGUCUAUUUGCAUGUCUCUUGCUGCUAGAAUUGCAAUUCAUAUUCCAAGAUCUGCAGCUUCAUUAAAAAUGUCAGCUGGAUUUCACAGAGUUUCCUUACUAGAUGCAUUGUUUGACGUUGUGCCUCCAUUGGCCUUCAAAAGCAUCUGUACAGAGGGCAUCAGCUUCCAGCGGGGAUCCAACCGUUCAACUACAUGUGGGAGGUUGGCGUCGGCCCUGACCUGGCUAUGCAUCGUAGGUACGUUAUGCUCUAUGAAGACCAGUGACCAUGGACGUUUCUCUCCUCCACCGGAUACAUCUGAGGAUUUAACAUUGAGCCAGUUUGGUACAUUUGAAAUCCUAUCGAGGGACGCCAAGACGCUGGAAGUUCAGCAUGCCUCUACCAAAUGCUGCCUCAUCACAACUACUGAGCUGAUCUGCGAGACUAGUGUCUUCCACAGAAGAGGCGAAGACUGAUGACAAACAGGACUCUGGCCAUCAUUGGUGCAGAACCUCCCUCCUGGACUCCACCUGCAGGCCCCAAGAGACAGUAUACACCCACCAGGGAUCUCUAACUUUGGACUCAACACCUGUGAAACAAAGUCAUGGCAGGGUUCAAAGUCUCUAGGCUAGUAGUGGCUUUGUCCCAAUAGUAUAUUUGGAUUAAAUUGAUUGGCCAUGUGACUACCAGUGUGAAUGGGAUCGUGUUCUACAAGCAAUACUCACCCGAAGACGGGUCUGUCGUCACCCAGACAUCUUAUAGGUAUGGCUCUACAUUUUGUAACACCCCUUUGACGAGUCUAAGGUGCACACUAUCGGAUUUGUCAAUAGAAACAUUGGCAUCUGGUCCUAAAGGAGCUGUGCUACUAAGCAGUGUCCCACUCACCCCAUUGUAUGCUGAUGGGAUAUGUCAUUUACUUUCUGAAUGACUGGAAUUGUAAUGUGACUACAAAACCAGUCAUUGAGCGCUUUAGCUUUUGUUCUAGUCAAUCUUAAUGUGUUUUUGAAGUUUGAAAGUCCAAUAUCUCAGGAUCUUUGAGGGAGAUCCAGUCACUCUUGGUGACCAGGUUCCAAUGAAAACUGAGUCUUCAGUAAAUAGCUGUGUUCCUGAUGAAAUUAACCUUUUUUUUUCUUCAGUUUAGCUUUGCCAGUGGCUAGACUCCUGUUGGGAUUCCUCUGACGAUGACACUGACUACAAAGUAUCCUGUUACAAUCUGCUAAAUUAAUUUGGGUCCCCUGGCCACACCCAGCAAUUUAAACUAGCAUUGAAUCAAUACUUUUUUUUCUUCUAUUUAAAAUGAAUAAAUUGUUGGCUCUUGAAGACUUCAUCCAGUACCUUUGUUUUUAAAAGCAAUAUACCAAGCUUAACUGCAGACUUCAAGGAGUUGGUCUGAUAGACUUAGUGAUGUCAUUGGAGUCAAUUUUUCAUGCAAGUUUCGUGCAGCUGUAUAAAGAUACUAUAUUAAGUUGUGCUGCCUGUGUAAACACAGCCCAAUUAUUUUCCAGUGACUGUGUCCAAUAAUAGGGUAAAAGAUGACUGCCUGUGUAAAUGCAGCCUUUGCACAGGGAUAUUCAACUCAUACCCUACGAGGUCCAAUGCCUGCUGGUUUUGUUCUGCUAAUGAAUUGCACCCACCUUGUGUCCCAGGUCGGGGGCGCAGUGGAACUGCCUUCAAGGUCCAGUUUUGAAUUUGAGGGACUUACAGCAUCCAAGAAUGUGUUUACUUGUUUUGAGCCCUUUUCUCUAGGCUUAAAAUUAGCUGUCAAAUGGUGCAGCGAUUACAUGACUGCUACUUGGACAAUUCAAAUAGUGUUACCCAACAUUAUAGCAAAACCCUUAGCAUGCUCAUUGUGAAGACAUGGAAAUAAAAUAGUAAUUGGAUUAUAAAAAAACCUGUCAUUCUUCUCUAAAGCAAACAUGUUUGGUUAUGCAGUCGACUCCAUGUGCCAUUUGAAGUAAAAUCUUGUCAGAUCAGCAAAAAUACAUUAACUCAUGCUUGUAAUUUAAAGCCUGUGUAAAAGGGGCAAUCUGCAGUUAGUACACUUUUGGGGACUUUGAUAUGCCCACUGAUAUAUAUAUAAGUGGAUUUGGAAGUAUUCAUACCCCUUCACCACAUUUACGUUACAUCCUUUUUCAAAAGUGGAUGAAAUAAAUCUAUUACCCAGACAGGGUUUUAAGAAAUGUUUCAAAAUUUAAGGUAUCUGUACUCCCAGUCAUGUGAAGUCAAUGAGGGCCUCAUUUAUUUAAAUUGACUUAUGUAUAACUCAGUAAAAUCUUUGACAUUGUUGCAUCAUUUAUUUCAGUAUAAUAGCUUAAAUUCAAACACCAGAUUUGCCCCUGGUGGGAUAUACAAUGAACUGUUUCACCAUUAGAAACAGCCUUCCUGGUCCAUGUGCUGGGAUAAUACACAAUUUUCC